GUCAAAGCUAGGGAUACGGUGCCACUGUC
rnacentral:piRNA from 1 species